rnacentral:rRNA from 1 species
CCUACGGGAGGCAGCAGUGGGGAAUCUUGCGCAAUGGGCGAAAGCCUGACGCAGCAACGCCGCGUGCGGGAAGAAGGCUUUCGGGCUGUAAACCGCUUUCAGCAGGAGCGAAAAUGACGGUACCUGCAGAAGAAGGAGCGGCCAACUAUGUGCCAGCAGCCGCGGUGAUACAUAGGCUUCAAGCGUUGUCCGGAUUUAUUGGGCGUAAAGAGUUCGUAGGCGGUCGAGUAAGUCGGGUGUGAAAAUUCUGGGCUCAACCCAGAGACGCCACCCGAUACUGCUUGACUUGAGUUCGAUAGGGGAGUGGGGAAUUCCUAGUGUAGCGGUGAAAUGCGCAGAUAUUAGGAGGAACACCGGUGGCGAAGGCGCCACUCUGGAUCGAUACUGACGCUGAGGAACGAAAGCAUGGGUAGCAAACAGGAUUAGAUACCCUGGUAGUCCAUGCCGUAAACGGUGGGCACUAGGUGUGGGUUUCUAUUAACGAAAUCCGCGCCGUCGCUAACGCAUUAAGUGCCCCGCCUGGGGAGUACGGUCGCAAGACUAAAACUCAAAUGAAUUGACGG